GAUGAACGCUGGCGGCGUGCUUAACACAUGCAAGUCGAACGAUUAAACUGGCUUCGGCCAGAUAUAGAGUGGCGAACGGGUGAGUAACACGUGACCAACCUGCCCCGCGCUCCGGGACAACCGCUGGAAACGGCGGCUAAUACCGGAUGCUCCGGGGAGGCCCCAUGGCCUCCCCGGGAAAGCCUUAACGGCGCGGGAUGGGGUCGCGGCCCAUUAGGUAGACGGCGGGGUAACGGCCCACCGUGCCCGCGAUGGGUAGCCGGACUGAGAGGUCGACCGGCCACAUUGGGACUGAGGUACGGCCCAGACUCCUACGGGAGGCAGCAGUGGGGAAUUUUGCGCAAUGGGGGCAACCCUGACGCAGCAACGCCGCGUGCGGGACGAAGGCCUUCGGGUUGUAAACCGCUUUCAGCAGGGAAGACUU
rnacentral:rRNA from 1 species